rnacentral:rRNA from 1 species
CAACUCUUGACAUGGCCGGUUUACCUGCAGAGAUGCAGGGUCCCGCAAGGGGCCGGUUACAGGUGCUGCAUGGCUGUCGUCAGCUCGUGUCGUGAGAUGUUGGGUUAAGUCCCGCAACGAGCGCAACCCUUGUCCGUAGUUGCCAUCAGGUUGGGCUGGGCACUCUACGGGGACUGCCGGUGACAAGCCGGAGGAAGGUGGGGAUGACGUCAAGUCCUCAUGGCCCUUACGAGUUGGGCUACACACGUGCUACAAUGGUGGUGACAGAGGGCAGCGAGGUCGCGAGGCCGAGCAAAUCCCUAAAAGCCAUCUCAGUUCGGAUUGCACUCUGCAACUCGGGUGCAUGAAGGUGGAAUCGCUAGUAAUCGCGGAUCAGCACGCCGCGGUGAAUA